rnacentral:tRNA from 1 species
CCUGGUGGCUCAGAGGUUAAAGCAUCUGCCUGCAAUGCAGGAGACCUGAGUUCAAUCCCUGGGUCAGGA